rnacentral:lncRNA from 1 species
CUCGACUAUUAUGGUCUUUGCCCUGCUCAGCUGGCACCUAACUCGGUCCGGCUUAUAAUUAGCUUUGCUUUAUUGUGUCAGUUAAUACCGACUGAGUCUCGUCAUUCUCUUUUCCAUACCUUCUUUGUUCUUCGUCUCCAUCCAAAGGCCAAGGGUUGGUGGCUCUUCAACCCAAGAAAAGAUCAUUCCUUCAUUACUGAUCUUCUAUCGUCCAUUCAUGAAUGAAAAAAUCAAUUCUUUUUUAUUUUUUCUUCUCUUUCCUAGGGCUUUCUUUCACGCUGGGGUGAUCCAAGGACCAGUCCCAACGAGAACAGUCGGAUGGAAGUCGACGAUCGAAAGGAUUUUCAUCGACUGAAGG